GAUGAACGCUAGCUACAGGCUUAACACAUGCAAGUCGAGGGGAAACGGCAUUGAGUGCUUGCACUCUUUGGACGUCGACCGGCGCACGGGAGAGUAACGCGUAUCCAACCUUCCCAUUACUGUGGGAUAACCUGCCGAAAGUCAGACUAAUACCGCAUAGUCUUCGAUGACGGCAUCAGAUUUGAAGUAAAGAUUUAUCGGUAAUGGAUGGGGAUGCGUCUGAUUAGCUUGUUGGCGGGGUAACGGCACACCAAGGCUACGAUCAGUAGGGGUUCUGAGAGGAAGGUACCCCACAUUGGAACCGAGACACGGUCCAAACUCCUACGGGAGGGAGCAGUGAGGAAUAUUGGUCAAUGGACGGAAGUCUGAACCAGCCAAGUAGCGUGCAGGAGGACGGCCCUAUGGGUUGUAAACUGCUUUUGUAUGGGGAUAAAGUUAGGGACGUGUCCCUAUUUGCAGGUACCAUACGAAUAAGGACCGGCUAAUUCCGUG
rnacentral:rRNA from 1 species